rnacentral:rRNA from 1 species
GAUGAACGCUAGCUAUAGGCUUAACACAUGCAAGUCGAGGGACCGGCGCACGGGUGAGUAACGCGUAUCCAACCUGCCCAUAACUAAGGGAUAACCCAGCGCAAGUUGGACUAAUACCUUAUGGUUAUUGUUGGGGAUGCGUUUGAUUCGCUUGUUGGCGGGGUAACGGCCCACCAAGGCAACGAUCAGUAGGGGUUCUGAGAGGAAGGUACACCACAUUGGAACUGAGACACGGUCCAAACUCCUACGGGAGGCAGCAGUGAUGAAUAUGGGUCAAGGGACGCAAGUCUGAACCAGCCAAGUAGCGUGCAGGAUGACGGCCUAUGGGUUGUAAACUGCUGUUAUAUGGGGAUAGGUACCAUAUGAAUAAGGACCGGCUAAUUCCGUGCCAGCAGCCGCGGUAAUAC